rnacentral:rRNA from 1 species
GGUUGAUCCCGCCGGAGGUCAUCGCUAUCUGAAUCCGACUAAGCUAUGCUAGUUUUCCCGAAAGGGAGGCGAAAAGCUCAGUAAUACAUAGUUAAUUUGCCCUUAGGUCUGGAAUACACCCGAGAAAUUGGGCUCAAGACCAGAUAGAUAAAAAUUACUGGAAUGUGUUUUUAUCUAAAGCUUCGGCGCCUAAGGAUAAAACUGUGUCCCAUUAGGUUGUUGCUAGGGUAACGUCCUGACAAGCCUAUGAUGGGUACGAGCCUUGAGAGAGGAAGCUCGGAGAUGGAUUCUGAGACAAGAAUCCAGGUCCUACGGGGUGCAGCAAGCGCGAAACUUUCACAAUGCACGCAAGUGUGAUGGAGGGAUUCAGAGUGCUUUCCCAUUUAAUGGGGAAGCUUUUGUCAAGUCUAGAUAGCUUGGCGAAUAAGCGGUGGGUAAGACAGGUGCCAGCCGCCGCGGUAAUACCUGCGCCGCAAGUGAUGACCUCGUUUAUUGGGUUUAAAGUGUUCGUAGCCGGUUUGAUAAGUUCUUAAUGAAAUUCCACAGUUGACUGUGGAGCUUGUUGAGAAUACUGUUAGACUAGAGACCGGGAGAGGUCGAGGGUAUUCCUGGGGUAAGGGUUAAAUCUUAUAAUCCUAGGAAGACCACCUGUGGCGAAGGCGCUCGACUAGAACGGAUCUGACGGUGAGGGACGAAAGCCAGGGGAGCAAAGGGGAUUAGAUACCCCCGUAGUCCUGGCUGUAAACGAUACCCACUAGAUGUUGGGGGUCUUAAGGGGGCCUCCAGUUUCGUAGGGAAACCGUUAAGUGGGUCACCUGGGGAGUACGUUCGCAAGGAUGAAACUUAAGGGAAUUGGCGGGGGAGCACACAAGGGGUGGAGGCUGCGGUUCAAUUCGAUUCAACGCGAGGAACCUUACCAGUGGCGACAGCAGAAUGAAGGUCAGGUUAAUGACCUUACCAGACAAGCUGAGAGGAGCUGCAUGGCCGUCGUCAGUUCGUGCUGUGAAGUGUCCUGUUAAGUCAGGUAACGAACGAGACCCGUGCCUUAUGUUGCAACCAUAUCUUUCGGUGUGGGCACUCAUAAGGGACCGCUGUUGAUAAAACAGAGGAAGGAGCGGUCGACGGCAGGUCAGUAUGGUCUGAAUCCGCUGGGUAACACGCGGCCUACAAUGGUCGGGACAAUGAGAUGUGACCCCGAAAGGGGAAACUAAUCUCCAAACCCGAUCUUAGUUCAGAUUGAGGACUGCAACUCGUCCUCAUGAAGCCGAAAUCCCUAGUAGUCGCUGGUCAUCAUCUAGCGGCGAAUAAGUUCCUGCUCCUUGCACACACUGCCCGUCAAGCCAACCGAGUGGGGUUUUGGUGAGGCUCUGGUUUUUGCCAAAGUCGAAUCACGAUUUCGUAAGGUGGGCUAAGUCGUAACAAGGUA